rnacentral:lncRNA from 1 species
UCACGCAAUUCGGCGACAAUUGUAGGAGCUUUGGGAGAAAAAAUUAUAUACAUAUACAUACAGAAAACCAAAGCAAAGGAGGGCAGCCUGGGGAAUAGAGAGAAUAAACAUUGUCGGCUGCAAACAUAGAGAAGAGAAGAAUUCUGCCUACUGCUGAACUAUGUAUACACGUAAGCCGGCAUAGAGGGGGCUGAAUUGAAGAUAUUAGAUACAACAGAAAUCGGCAGAUUGGUGGAGGCUGGGAAUAAAUUGCAUAUAUUAACACAGCAAACGGAGAAGAGAAGGAAUUGUUGGGUGCUUAAUUAUAUAUACAUAGCCGGCUGAGAUUUGAAAAGAAUCGACAACCGUGGGAGAUAAAAAUAAAGAGGCUGCCUUCAGAAAUUAGAGAAGAACAGAGACGACACACAACCAUUGGAAUUAAUUACGUUUCGUCUAUUUCUCGGUGAUGUCAUUCUCUUUUUAUGCGUUUAAUUGCAACAAUGUGCUAG